GUCGAGAAUCUUUCACAAUGGGGGCAACCCUGAUGGAGCGACGCCGCGUGGAGGAUAAGGUCUUCGGAUUGUAAACUCCUGUCAUGCGUGAACAAGGUUGCUUGGUUAAUACCUGGGCAAAUUGAUGGUAACGCAAGAGGAAGAGACGGCUAACUCUGUGCCAGCAGCCGCGGUAAUACAGAGGUCUCAAGCGUUGUUCGGAAUCACUGGGCGUAAAGGGUGCGUAGGUGGCGUGGUAAGUCAGAUGUGAAAGCCCGGGGCUCAACCUCGGAACUGCAUCCGAUACUGCCAUGCUAGAGUGCUGGAAAGGUGACUAGAAUUCUCGGUGUAGCAGUGAAAUGCGUAGAUAUCGAGAGGAAUACCAAAGGCGUAGGCAGGUCACUGGACAGUUACUGACACUGAGGCACGAAGGCCAGGGGAGCGAACGGGAUUAGAAACCCUUGUAGUCC
rnacentral:rRNA from 1 species